GCGGCGGACGGGUGAGUAACACGUGGGCAACCUGCCCUGCAGACUGGGAUAACUUCGGGAAACCGGAGCUAAUACCGGAUAACACCGAAAACCGCAUGGUUUUCGGUUGAAAGGCGGCUUUUAGCUGUCACUGCAGGAUGGGCCCGCGGCGCAUUAGCUAGUUGGUGAGGUAACGGCUCACCAAAGGCGACGAUGCGUAGCCGACCUGAGAGGGUGACCGGCCACACUGGGACUGAGACACGGCCCAGACUCCUACGGGAGGCAGCAGUAGGGAAUCUUCCGCAAUGGACGAAAGUCUGACGGAGCAACGCCGCGUGAGCGAAGAAGGUCUUCGGAUCGUAAAGCUCUGUUGUCAGGGAAGAACAAGUGCCGUUCGAACAGGGCGGUACCUUGACGGUACCUGACGAGGAAGCCACGGCUAACUACGUGCCAGCAGCCGCGGUAAUAC
rnacentral:rRNA from 1 species